UUAAGCGACUAAGCGUACACGGUGGAUGCCCUGGCAGUCAGAGGCGAUGAAGGACGUGCUAAUCUGCGAUAAGCGUCGGUAAGGUGAUAUGAACCGUUAUAACCGGCGAUUUCCGAAUGGGGAAACCCAGUGUGAUUCGUCACACUAUCAUUAACUGAAUCCAUAGGUUAAUGAGGCGAACCGGGGGAACUGAAACAUCUAAGUACCCCGAGGAAAAGAAAUCAACCGAGAUUCCCCCAGUAGCGGCGAGCGAACGGGGAGCAGCCCAGAGCCUGAAUCAGUGUGUGUGUUAGUGGAAGCGUCUGGAAAGGCGCGCGAUACAGGGUGACAGCCCCGUACACAAAAAUGCACAUACUGUGAGCUCGAUGAGUAGGGCGGGACACGUGGUAUCCUGUCUGAAUAUGGGGGGACCAUCCUCCAAGGCUAAAUACUCCUGACUGACCGAUAGUGAACCAGUACCGUGAGGGAAAGGCGAAAAGAACCCCGGCGAGGGGAGUGAAAAAGAACCUGAAACCGUGUACGUACAAGCAGUGGGAGCACGCUUAGGCGUGUGACUGCGUACCUUUUGUAUAAUGGGUCAGCGACUUAUAUUCUGUAGCAAGGUUAACCGAAUAGGGGAGCCGAAGGGAAACCGAGUCUUAACUGGGCGUUAAGUUGCAGGGUAUAGACCCGAAACCCGGUGAUCUAGCCAUGGGCAGGUUGAAGGUUGGGUAACACUAACUGGAGGACCGAACCGACUAAUGUUGAAAAAUUAGCGGAUGACUUGUGGCUGGGGGUGAAAGGCCAAUCAAACCGGGAGAUAGCUGGUUCUCCCCGAAAGCUAUUUAGGUAGCGCCUCGUGAAUUCAUCUCCGGGGGUAGAGCACUGUUUCGGCAAGGGGGUCAUCCCGACUUACCAACCCGAUGCAAACUGCGAAUACCGGAGAAUGUUAUCACGGGAGACACACGGCGGGUGCUAACGUCCGUCGUGAAGAGGGAAACAACCCAGACCGCCAGCUAAGGUCCCAAAGUCAUGGUUAAGUGGGAAACGAUGUGGGAAGGCCCAGACAGCCAGGAUGUUGGCUUAGAAGCAGCCAUCAUUUAAAGAAAGCGUAAUAGCUCACUGGUCGAGUCGGCCUGCGCGGAAGAUGUAACGGGGCUAAACCAUGCACCGAAGCUGCGGCAGCGACGCUUAUGCGUUGUUGGGUAGGGGAGCGUUCUGUAAGCCUGUGAAGGUGUGCUGUGAGGCAUGCUGGAGGUAUCAGAAGUGCGAAUGCUGACAUAAGUAACGAUAAAGCGGGUGAAAAGCCCGCUCGCCGGAAGACCAAGGGUUCCUGUCCAACGUUAAUCGGGGCAGGGUGAGUCGACCCCUAAGGCGAGGCCGAAAGGCGUAGUCGAUGGGAAACAGGUUAAUAUUCCUGUACUUGGUGUUACUGCGAAGGGGGGACGGAGAAGGCUAUGUUGGCCGGGCGACGGUUGUCCCGGUUUAAGCGUGUAGGCUGGUUUUCCAGGCAAAUCCGGAAAAUCAAGGCUGAGGCGUGAUGACGAGGCACUACGGUGCUGAAGCAACAAAUGCCCUGCUUCCAGGAAAAGCCUCUAAGCAUCAGGUAACAUCAAAUCGUACCCCAAACCGACACAGGUGGUCAGGUAGAGAAUACCAAGGCGCUUGAGAGAACUCGGGUGAAGGAACUAGGCAAAAUGGUGCCGUAACUUCGGGAGAAGGCACGCUGAUAUGUAGGUGAAGUCCCUCGCGGAUGGAGCUGAAAUCAGUCGAAGAUACCAGCUGGCUGCAACUGUUUAUUAAAAACACAGCACUGUGCAAACACGAAAGUGGACGUAUACGGUGUGACGCCUGCCCGGUGCCGGAAGGUUAAUUGAUGGGGUCAGCGCAAGCGAAGCUCUUGAUCGAAGCCCCGGUAAACGGCGGCCGUAACUAUAACGGUCCUAAGGUAGCGAAAUUCCUUGUCGGGUAAGUUCCGACCUGCACGAAUGGCGUAAUGAUGGCCAGGCUGUCUCCACCCGAGACUCAGUGAAAUUGAACUCGCUGUGAAGAUGCAGUGUACCCGCGGCAAGACGGAAAGACCCCGUGAACCUUUACUAUAGCUUGACACUGAACAUUGAGCCUUGAUGUGUAGGAUAGGUGGGAGGCUUUGAAGUGUGGACGCCAGUCUGCAUGGAGCCGGCCUUGAAAUACCACCCUUUAAUGUUUGAUGUUCUAACGUUGACCCGUGAUCCGGGUUGCGGACAGUGUCUGGUGGGUAGUUUGACUGGGGCGGUCUCCUCCUAAAGAGUAACGGAGGAGCACGAAGGUUGGCUAAUCCUGGUCGGACAUCAGGAGGUUAGUGCAAUGGCAUAAGCCAGCUUGACUGCGAGCGUGACGGCGCGAGCAGGUGCGAAAGCAGGUCAUAGUGAUCCGGUGGUUCUGAAUGGAAGGGCCAUCGCUCAACGGAUAAAAGGUACUCCGGGGAUAACAGGCUGAUACCGCCCAAGAGUUCAUAUCGACGGCGGUGUUUGGCACCUCGAUGUCGGCUCAUCACAUCCUGGGGCUGAAGUAGGUCCCAAGGGUAUGGCUGUUCGCCAUUUAAAGUGGUACGCGAGCUGGGUUUAGAACGUCGUGAGACAGUUCGGUCCCUAUCUGCCGUGGGCGCUGGAGAACUGAGGGGGGCUGCUCCUAGUACGAGAGGACCGGAGUGGACGCAUCACUGGUGUUCGGGUUGUCAUGCCAAUGGCACUGCCCGGUAGCUAAAUGCGGAAGAGAUAAGUGCUGAAAGCAUCUAAGCACGAAACUUGCCCCGAGAUGAGUUCUCCCUGACUCCUUGAGAGUCCUGAAGGAACGUUGAAGACGACGACGUUGAUAGGCCGGGUGUGUAAGCGCAGCGAUGCGUUGAGCUAACCGGUACUAAUGAACCGUGAGGCUUAACCUU
rnacentral:rRNA from 1 species